AGCGAACGCUGGCGGCAGGCCUAACACAUGCAAGUCGAACGAACCUUUCGGGGUUAGUGGCGGACGGGUGAGUAACACGUGGGAACGUGCCUUUAGGUUCGGAAUAACUCAGGGAAACUUGUGCUAAUACCGAAUGUGCCCUUCGGGGGAAAGAUUUAUCGCCUUUAGAGCGGCCCGCGUCUGUUUAGCUAGUUGGUUGAGGUAAUGGCUCACCAAGGCGACGAUCAGUAGCUGGUCUGAGAGGAUGAUCAGCCACAUUGGGACUGGGACACGGCCCAAACUCCUACGGGAGGCAGCAGUGGGGAAUCUUGCGCAAUGGGCGAAAGCCUGACGCAGCCAUGCCGCGUGAAUGAUGAAGGUCUUAGGAUUGUAAAAUUCUUUCACCGGGGACGAUAAUGACGGUACCCGGAGAAGAAGCCCCGGCUAACUUCGUG
rnacentral:rRNA from 1 species